rnacentral:misc_RNA from 1 species
GAUGAAGAACGUAGCGAAAUGCGAUAAGUAAUGUGAAUUGCAGAAUUCAGUGAAUCAUCGAAUCUUUGAACGCACCUUGCGCUCCUUGGUAUUCCGAGGAGCAUGCCUGUUUGAGUGUCAUUAAAUUCUCAACCUCACCAGUUUUCUGAACUGUUCUCCGAGGCUUGGAUGUGGGGGUUUGUGCAGGCUGCCUCAGCGCGGUCUGCUCCCCUGAAAUGCAUUAGCGAGUUCGAUACUGAGCUCCGUCUAUUGGUGUGAUAAUUAUCUACGCCGUGGAUCGGGGCUUAGACUCGCUUCUAACCGUCCCAAGGACAAUACCUUGACAAUUUGACCUCAAAUCAGGUAGGACUACCCGCUGAACUUAAGCAUAUCAAUAAGCGGAGGA